GACGAACGCUGGCGGCGUGCUUAACACAUGCAAGUCGAACGGAAAGGCCCUGCUUUUGUGGGGUGCUCGAGUGGCGAACGGGUGAGUAACACGUGAGUAACCUGCCCUUGACUUUGGGAUAACUUCAGGAAACUGGGGCUAAUACCGGAUAGGAGCUCCUGCUGCAUGGUGGGGGUUGGAAAGUUUCGGCGGUUGGGGAUGGACUCGCGGCUUAUCAGCUUGUUGGUGGGGUAGUGGCUUACCAAGGCUUUGACGGGUAGCCGGCCUGGGAGGGUGACCGGCCACAUGGGUACUGAGAGACGGCCCAGACUCCUACGGGAGGCAGAAGUGGGGAAUAUUGCACAACGGGCGGAAGCCUGAUGCAGCAACGCCGCGUGCGGGAUGACGGCCUUCGGGUUGUAAACCGCUUUCGCCUGUGACGAAGCGUGAGUGACGGUAAUGGGUAAAGAAGCACCGGCUAACUACGUG
rnacentral:rRNA from 1 species